rnacentral:tRNA from 3 species
GCUCGGGUGGCGGAAUGGUAGACGCAGCGGACUUAAAAUCCGCUGGCCUUUGGCCGUACGGGUUCGAGUCCCGUCCCGAGUA